UACGGGGGGGGCAAGCGUUGUUCGGAAUUACUGGGCGUAAAGGGUUCGUAGGUGGCUUGCUAAGUCAGACGUGAAAUCCCUCGGCUUAACCGGGGAACUGCGUCUGAUACUGGCGAGCUUGAGUGCAGGAGAGGAACGCGGAAUUCCAGGUGUAGCGGUGAAAUGCGUAGAUAUCUGGAGGAACACCGGUGGCGAAGGCGGCGUUCUGGACUGCAACUGACACUGAGGAACGAAAGCCAGGGGAGCAAACGGG
rnacentral:rRNA from 1 species